AAAUACAAUUAUUGUAAUAACUGAAUAAAUAAAAGAAACAAUUCACUAUGUAAAAUACUUAUAGUAUGUUCAUAUUUUUAUUUAAAAACAUCUCAAAUACACAUAGACACACACACAUACACAUCCAUAUUAUCUGUUUAUAAAUAAAUACAUAAUGUUAUAUCCAUAAAAUAUCAUUGUUUCCUUUUCUUUUGUUACUUUUUUUUUUUUUUUUUUUUUUUUUUUUUUUUUUUUUUUUUUUUUUUUUUUUUUUUUUUUUUUUUUUUUUUUUUUUUUUUUUUUUUUCUUUUUUUUUUUUUUUUUUUUUUUUUUUUUAAGACAAA
rnacentral:lncRNA from 1 species